UACGUAGGGGGCAAGCGUUGUCCGGAAUCAUUGGGCGUAAAGCGCGCGUAGGCGGCCCUGUAAGUCCGCUGUAAAAGUCAAAGGCUCAACCUUUGAAAGCCGGUGGAUACUGCAGGGCUAGAGUCCGGAAGAGGCGAGUGGAAUUCCUGGUGUAGCGGUGAAAUGCGCAGAUAUCAGGAGGAACACCAAUUGCGAAGGCAGCUCGCUGGGACGUUACUGACGCUGAGACGCGAAAGCGUGGGGAGCAAACAGG
rnacentral:rRNA from 1 species